rnacentral:lncRNA from 10 species
UUGCUUUGGAAGAAAGAACGCUGCAAAUCCUAAUCCAAGAAUGCUUAGGAAGAAGGAUAGAAGCAGAAACAGGAGAGAAUGGAGAGACUCUUUAAGAUGAAGAAAGAAUGUUGGCCUUCAGCGUGUUCUUCAAGUAAAGACCCAUGCCCAGCACUCUUGAAGCAUGUUGGGGAGGAGCUUGGAGAGGAAUAACUAUGUGGCAUAGAGUAAAUUGCACAGGAAACUUCUCU